rnacentral:rRNA from 1 species
UACGAGGGGGGGCUAGCGUUGUUCGGAAUUACUGGGCGUAAAGCGCACGUAGGCGGCUUUGUAAGUUAGAGGUGAAAGCCCAGGGCUUAACCCUGGAAUUGCCUUUAAGACUGCAUCGCUAGAAUCGUGGAGAGGUGAGUGGAAUUCCGAGUGUAGAGGUGAAAUUCGUAGAUAUUCGGAAGAACACCAGUGGCGAAGGCGGCCCGCUGGGCAGUGGCUGACGCUGAGGCGCGACAGCGUGGGGAGCAAACAGGAUUGAGAA